rnacentral:lncRNA from 1 species
CUCACAGUAAUGUGGAAUCAAUACUUCUGUUCUCAGCCAUAAUCUUGAAUGUAAGAAAGUCUAAUGGGAGCACUGGAUACUUUCUGUCCUCCAGACACUCAAAGCAAGUGAAAGACAAUGGAUUUCUUCUCUACAAAACUGGAGGGAUUCUGGAAGUCAUCAAGCAAGUCACACAAGUGAAUGCAGUUGCAGAGGUCAAGAAAGGGAGGUGUCCCAGUAAAUCCUGCUUGAGUCGGUCACCAAUAACAAUAGGAGUGCAGCCAGGAUCUCCUAAUAAUAGACAAUGUGUUCUUGGGUGAUCCUAAAGUCAAACCUGUCUCUGGGAAGUCUGAUGCUAUGUGAUGAAUGUGAUGAGUCCAUCUCUCUGUUAUGUGUUGUGUCCUUCCCAAAGCAGAAAAAGCCUAAAAUGUGCAAGAAGGUUGCCACAAAAUGUAUCACACAUAGAUCUUCUGAAUUACAGAUGACAUCAACAAGAUCGAUCAACAGCAGCCCCAGGUGCUUGGAGUUUAUGAUCUUUGAA